rnacentral:rRNA from 1 species
UAUUCGAAUUUCUUAAUAUCAAAACUUUCAACAACGGAUCUCUUGGUUCUCGCAUCGAUGAAGAACGCAGCGAAUUGCGAUACGUAGUAUGACUUGCAGACGUGAAUCAUCGAAUCUUUGAACGCACAUUGCGCCUCGAGGCAUUCCUCGAGGCAUGCCUGUUUGAGCGUCGCAUCCCCUCUAACCCCCGGUUAGGCGUUGCUCCGAAAUAUCAACCGCGCUGUCAAACACGUUUACAGCACGACAUUUCGCCCUCAAAUCAGGUAGGACUACCCGCUGAACUUAAGCAUAUCAAUAAGCGAGGGAAAAGAAAAAACCC